AUACCGUAUGUUGGAAUUAACAGUGUAAACAAGGUAAGGCUAGCUAGCAUGCUGCAACGUGCCCCGACGGGCACAUGACUUGCUAGAGCUGGGAUGGGGCACCCGAUGACAGCACGUCUACAACCCCCCUCUCCCCAACACGUCAGACGAAUGAAGAUGUAUUGCCUCCACUCUAUCAUAACGCACGAUGUGCACAAUUCAAGUAUCAGUCUCUCUCUCCAGACUGUCCAUUGUUCAAAGUUGAACCUGAGACCGUGCACAUCCUGUGGAGCCAAAAGGCAUCGGCUCUUGUGUGCCACACAUCCAUGGAGUCUUUUUGUGCGACUCUAUGGACUGCAAGCAGGGUGCAUUGGCAAGGACCGAGCACGUUCCCAAAGCAAACAAUCACAACCUGCACAGGAGUCCAGGCCGUUGGCUAAAGAGGCUUCGACAUUGCCUUUGACAGCUGUUUCCUGUUAUGUGACUACACACAGCUGCUAUUGCAAGAGAGGGCAUCUUAGUGUUUCAGACAUUUCCAAGGGUCACAGGGAAGAAAAAUAAUGCAGCCUCGGCAGUGUCCGCCGCCAGACCACCAAGGUUCCCGCCGUUAGCAUGCUAGGCUGUCAACCUGGACGCAGUGUCUUGGGAGCGUGGGAGGGUGGAGCGGGGCGCGUUUGGAGCAAGUUCAAAGUUCAUUGUGUUCUCAGUCACUUAUCUUGCCCGGUCACUUACUCGCUUAUCUUUUAUACUUUCUUUGCGUGACAAUAUAGAUGAGGGCACCCUGUCAGGAUGCCGAAUGUUGAUAACAGAAAAAUCUAUCCCUAAUGUCUCCGUCUAUUAUUAAAUUACAAUUGACUCCCAGCCUUUACAUUGUUAUAAUGUAUUGUACUAUAUCACUUCAAUAUCCAUGUUUUAUGUCACACUAAGUACCACUUAUUUUUGCACAUCUUUUACUUUUUAUACCUAAGCCUAAUUAUUCCCUGGAAGGCAUAGUAAGUCAGCUAUGUACCAUUUUGAAUUUGUGUAGAGUAAUGACGUUUAAAUACUUUGUCACAGUACAUAAGUAAUUUUUUGGAGUAUCUAUACUUUUUUACUCACUUUUGCU
ensembl:lncRNA